rnacentral:rRNA from 1 species
UACGGGAGGCAGCAGUGGGGAAUAUUGCACAAUGGGCGCAAGCCUGAUGCAGCCAUGCCGCGUGUAUGAAAAAGGCCUUCGGGUUGUAAAGUACUUUCAGUCGUGAGGAAGGUGUUAAGGUUAAUAACCUUAGCAAUUGACGUUAGCGACAGAAGAAGCACCGGCUAACUCCGUGCCAGCAGCCGCGGUAAUACGGAGGGUGCGAGCGUUAAUCGGAAUUACUGGGCGUAAAGGGCACGCAGGCGGUUAAUUAAGUUGGAUGUGAAAUCCCCGGGCUUAACCUGGGAAUGGCAUUCAAGACUGGUUAGCUAGAGUCUUGUAGAGGGGGGUUAGAAUUCCAUGUGUAGCGGUGAAAUGCGUAGAGAUGUGGAGGAAUACCGGUGGCGAAGGCGGCCCCUGGGACAAAGACUGACGCUCAUGUGCGAAAGCGUGGGGAGCAAACAGGGAUUAGAUACC